rnacentral:rRNA from 1 species
UAACGCGUGGGUAACCUGCCUCAUACAGGGGGAUAACAGUUAGAAAUGACUGCUAAUACCGCAUAAGCGCACGGGACCGCAUGGUCCGGUGUGAAAAACUCCGGUGGUAUGAGAUGGACCCGCGUCUGAUUAGUUAGUUGGCGGGGUAGCGGCCCACCAAGACGACGAUCAGUAGCCGACCUGAGAGGGUGACCGGCCACAUUGGGACUGAGACACGGCCCAAACUCCUACGGGAGGCAGCAGUGGGGAAUAUUGCACAAUGGGGGAAACCCUGAUGCAGCGACGCCGCGUGAGUGAAGAAGUAUUUCGGUAUGUAAAGCUCUAUCAGCAGGGAAGAAGUUGACGGUACCUGAGUAAGAAGCCCCGGCUAACUACGUGCCAGCAGCCGCGGUAAUACGUAGGGGGCAAGCGUUAUCCGGAUUUACUGGGUGUAAAGGGAGCGUAGACGGCAGUGCAAGUCUGAAGUGAAAGCCCCGGGCUUAACCCGGGAACUGCUUUGGAAACUGUACGGCUGGAGUGCUGGAGAGGUAAGCGGAAUUCCUAGUGUAGCGGUGAAAUGCGUAGAUAUUAGGAGGAACACCAGUGGCGAAGGCGGCUUACUGGACAGUAACUGACGUUGAGGCUCGAAAGCGUGGGGAGCAAACAGGAUUAGAUACCCUGGUAGU